UACGUAGGGUGCGAGCGUUAAUCGGAAUUACUGGGCGUAAAGCGUGCGCAGGCGGUGAUGUAAGACAGGUGUGAAAUCCCCGGGCUUAACCUGGGAACUGCAUUUGUGACUGCAUCGCUGGAGUGCGGCAGAGGGGGAUGGAAUUCCGCGUGUAGCAGUGAAAUGCGUAGAUAUGCGGAGGAACACCGAUGGCGAAGGCAAUCCCCUGGGCCUGCACUGACGCUCAUGCACGAAAGCUGGGGGAGCGAACAGG
rnacentral:rRNA from 1 species